rnacentral:rRNA from 1 species
GAUGAACGCUGGCGGCGUGCUUAACACAUGCAAGUCGAACGAUGAAGCCCAGCUUGCUGGGUGGAUUAGUGGCGAACGGGUGAGUAACACGUGAGUAACCUGCCCUUAACUCUGGGAUAAGCCUGGGAAACUAGGUCUAAUACCGGAUAGGAGCGCCUACCGCAUGGUGGGUGUUGGAAAGAUUUAUCGGUUUUGGAUGGACUCGCGGCCUAUCAGCUUGUUGGUGAGGUAAUGGCUCACCAAGGCGACGACGGGUAGCCGGCCUGAGAGGGUGACCGGCCACACUGGGACUGAGACACGGCCCAGACUCCUACGGGAGGCAGCAGUGGGGAAUAUUGCACAAUGGGCGAAAGCCUGAUGCAGCGACGCCGCGUGAGGGAUGACGGCCUUCGNNGGUGUAACCUCUUUCAGUAGGGAAGAAGCGAAAGUGACNGUACCUGCAGAAGAAGCACCGGCUAACUACGUGCCAGCAGCCGCGGGUAUACGUAGGGUGCGAGCGUUAUCCGGAAUUAUUGGGCGUAAAGAGCUCGUAAGCGGUUUGUCGCGUCUGUCGUGAAAUCCGGGACUCCAUCACGGAUCUGCGGUGUGUACGGGCAGACUAGAGUGCACUCUUGGAGACGGGAAUUCCUGGUGUAGCGGCGGAAUGCGCAGAUAUCAGGAGGAACACCGAUGGCGAAGGCAGGUCUCUGGGCUGUAACUGACGCUGAGGAGCGAAAGCAUGGGGAGCGAACAGGAUUAGAUACCCUGGUAGUCCAUGCCGUAAACGUUGGGCACUAGGUGUGGGGACCAUUCCACGGUUUCCGCGCCGCAGCUAACGCAUUAAGUGCCCCGCCUGGGGAGUACGGCCGCAAGGCUAAAACUCAAAGGAAUUGACGGGGGCCCGCACAAGCGGCGGAGCAUGCGGAUUAAUUCGAUGCAACGCGAAGAACCUUACCAAGGCUUGACAUGUUCUCGAUCGCCGUAGAGAUACGGUUUCCCCUUUGGGGCGGGUCCACAGGUGGUGCAUGGUUGUCGUCAGCUCGUGUCGUGAGAUGUUGGGUUAAGUCCCGCAACGAGCGCAACCCUCGUUCCAUGUUGCCAGCACGUAAUGGUGGGGACUCAUGGGAGACUGCCGGGGUCAACUCGGAGGAAGGUGAGGACGACGUCAAAUCAUCAUGCCCCUUAUGUCUUGGGCUUCACGCAUGCUACAAUGGCCGGUACAAUGGGUUGCGAUACUGUGAGGUGGAGCUAAUCCCAAAAAGCCGGUCUCAGUUCGGAUUGGGGUCUGCAACUCGACCCCAUGAAGUCGGAGUCGCUAGUAAUCGCAGAUCAGCAACGCUGCGGUGAAUACGUUCCCGGGCCU